UAUUUGUUUGGAUUAAAGCUGUAAGUAGCCUCACCUUUCCCAGACUACUCCAGCUGAUCUCUGGGGACAGAAGCUUUAUAGGUAUUUUUUCACUAUUUUUUGAGCAUGGCAACUAAUAGAGUUGUCCUCUUGUGACUCAUGAUGACUCAGAGCCAGACACAGUAGGCAUGGCAGAAAGACAACUUUUCACAGACCUGUCUUACCACCUACUUCCUGUUUUAUUUUUUCAUGGAUGCAACUUUCCCUGCAGGAAGAAGGGAACAGUUUUCUCCAUGUACCUGUUGGGGGAGAGAAACAAGGCUGCUUCAACCAUCAAUCUGUGGGACCUCAGAUCUCAGCCUGAAAGCAAGGGUGAAACGAAAUACGAAAAUUGCACUGCAGUAGAAGAGGAGUCAGCUAUCUGAGGGCCUCUGCUGAAAUCCCAUCUUUCGGGUGUUGUUUCACUUUGCACCCAAAGUCAUAUUCAAUGAAUGGGAGAAACUGAGAGCAGAAGCAAGAAGCUGGACUCCUAAGGAUCCGUGCAAUUUGAUAGUGUGUCACACUUGGUGUGUGCCAGUUUUGCAUCUGAAUUAAAAAGGCCAGGGAACUGUACCAGAUCAGACCUCCAAGUAAGGAGGUUUUGCAGAAAUCCAUGACCACACAGAAGGAAAAUGCAAACUUGUCUCCCAAAGGUGAUGUGGGAUUUCUCACCUUCUGAAAAUCCUGUUCAUGCUGCUGCUUCAUACCACUGGUUUCCCAAGUUGGUUCUGUAAUUUCCUCAUUUGCCAUGGAAGGAUUGCUAUCUCAACUCAUCUGUGCUGUUUAGAAUCUGAUCACUGGUUUCAGAAAUUGAGACUACCAUUUCUGGUCCUAUUUAAGACUGAGGGAGAAAUGUGAAAUUCUGAAAUCUUUUCAAGACUGGAAAACAGCUUUCUACCAAGUUCCCCUCAAAUGAGAUUGCAGAAAUUCUUCUUUCUCCUUUUCUGGCUCUGUUACCACACAAUUCUCUUCAUGCUUGUCUCCAAGACCAAAUCUGAGCCAGCCUGAGAUUUGUGCUGAUGGAAAUCAUAGUUUCUUCGGCCAAGAACAUCUAGUUAGAAGUCUGAGAAGAGCUGGCAUAUCUCAGUAACAGUGUGUAAGGACAGCCCAAACAUCUUCACGUUCCCAGCCCAGAUCCCUGCCGCCAGCAAGCCCAUUGGAUGCUCCUGCUUGGCCUCUGGCUGUGCUCGCUGCCGGAUCCGUGUGUGAUGAUGGCACCACGCCGAGCCCAGGGUGGCCUGCCAGUUCCCGAGGGGAUGCAGGUACUGUGUAAAGAGGGGGUUUCGUGGGCAGCCUGCCUAAUGCUGUGAGGGGAACUGCUGCCUACCAAGUACCCUUCCCUCUGCAACAGCGACACACACGAGUGCUCCUGAGCCCCCUUUGGCAUAUGCGUAUGUAAACAGGUCCAAAUCACAGAGAAGACUACUGUGCGGGCAAACACCGCUGCCAAAAAGGAAAAUUGCAUCGCUCAGGUAACUGAGGAACCUCUGGCAGCAAGGAAAGGUUGUAAGAGUAUGAUCAUGUUAACAUCCAUCCCUCUGGCUGUCUGGGUGAACGAUAAAGGUUGUAAACUUACAUCCUCUGCCUGAAUAUUGAAAAUGUGGCAGCUAAUGCUGUAGUAAAAGAAGUAAUAUUUUAUUCGUUUAAAAGAUCAGCACACAGGAAAAGUGAAACACAAGACUUAUAAGCUGUCUGCAUCCCAUCCUUCAUGGCGGCUUCAGCCCCUAAGUAGUCACAUUUCUGAGCACUGGGGAAAUGUGAGGAGCUAAUCAUUUCCUCUGACUCAAAAGCAUAACAGCAGACCAGAAAGCAAAGCAAAAAACAUGCAGCAUGUUUCUGAGUUUCCCUGUUUCAAUCUGCUUCUCCGCAUGUGUGAGGUUUUUUUCACCAGAAUCAUCAUUCCUCGUGAUUCAGCUUAGGGCAUUGAGCUGCCUGAUUCUUGAGGACUUCAACAAAUCUGAAGUCCUGGAAGUAGUCUGGAAGGAACUAUGAAAGACUCCAUGUUUCUUGGGCUCUCUUUGCUGCCCGUUCAGAUUUUCCAGGAGUGCUAUGAGAUAAACUUUUUAUCUCUACAUCACCAUUUCACAUCCAGCCCCAGAGCAGCUCAUACCUUUCAAUGGGAAAAUGUCUGGGAAAGAGCUGAAGGAAAGCUUUCACUUCAGAUUUACUCCCUGCCCUCUGACUCUCCCCCUUCUGAAGAGGCAGCUCAGAGUUUCUGUACCAGCUUACCAGGGAGAUGAAGGACUCCAUCAGGACUGGUCAUUUCACUGUGUCCAGCCAUCCCACUCUCUUUUCCAAGAUGCUCCAGUCCAAGUUGAUCAGAACCCAGCUACCAGAAUUGAUUCUGCUUUCUCACCCUUCCCCAGGAGAUGUUUCAGCCUCCACAACACAACUUCCAGCUGGGUUUCACCAUGUUUGUGUCUCACCCUGGCAAAAGCUCCACACUUGCCAUGCUCCUUUCACAGGGGCUGCAGAGAAGACCAUGGGUGUGUGCUUGUAUCAUUUAUGCUCUUUCAUUAUUACAACAUAGGAGAGGGAAAGGGCCAGAAGGUCAUUCAGUGGCAUCUCCGAAAUGUAGAUCUCAGGAUGUUCCCAGAUGAAACAGCCGUGUGAGAACCCACCACUGCUGCUGGCUUUACUGGUUUAAGGCUGUCUGGGUGUAGACGCUAAUCUGCCCUCCUGUUUCCAGAGGCAGGCUACCAGUGUAGCACAUCAGUAAGGCAACCAGGAGGAGGUGACACCUCUUCUGUACAUGUGGGACUUCAGUCUCCAAUGGUUUCAUUCCAGCACCUUUCCCCACUGUAAACGUGGUGGAGAUUCUUGUUCGUGUUCUAAAGUCAGCAUUAAAUUGGAUGUUUUAAGCUGAGGAUAUUUUCCCAGUUCUUGGAAAGGGUUAGACACAGCUCUGAGCUGGGCAAAGUGUGUGUUUGCCAUCAAACUAAGCAGCUGUGUUCAUCUUGUCUUGGAUUUCUUUAUAUGAGACGGGCUGAUUCACAAAAGGAAAUGCUGAGGCCACACAGGUUGUCAAGUCUCUAGUCUAACCAGGUGUAAUGACUGAGGUUUUGCAGGAAAGCUGCAGUUAAAGGAAAAAAUAACAGAUCGCGGGUCAAAUCCAUCCCUGAUGCAACUCUACUGUCUUCCGUGAGAGUUACCCCUGGGUGAAUCUGGGCCCACGUUCCUCACUCAUGAAAUAAAACAAGAUCCCUUCUGCAGCAUAAUCAAUUGGAAAA